rnacentral:rRNA from 1 species
UACAGAGGGUGCGAGCGUUGUUCGGAAUUAUUGGGCGUAAAGCGCAUGUAGGCGGGUUGUUAAGUCGCGUGUGAAAUCCCCAGGCUCAACCUGGGAAGUGCGCGCGAAACUGGCGACCUUGAGUGCUGGAGAGGGUGGCGGAAUUCCCGGUGUAGAGGUGAAAUUCGUAGAUAUCUGGAGGAACACCGGUGGCGAAGGCGGCAUCCUGGACCGGCAUUGACGCUGAGGCGCGAAAGCCAGGGGAGCAAACGGG